rnacentral:rRNA from 1 species
CCUACGGGAGGCUGCAGUGAGGAAUAUUGGUCAAUGGGCGAGAGCCUGAACCAGCCAAGUCGCGUGAGGGAAGACGGUCCUAUGGAUUGUAAACCUCUUUUGUCGGGAGCAAAAAGGCCUCGUGAGGCCACAAGUGAGAGUACCCGAAGAAAAAGCAUCGACUAACUCCGUGCCAGCAGCCGCGGUAAUACGGAGGAUGCGAGCGUUAUCCGGAUUUAUUGGGUUUAAAGGGUGCGUAGGCGGACUGGAAAGUCAGCGGUAAAAUUGCGGGGCUCAACCCCGUCGAGCCGUUGAAACUGGCAGACUUGAGUUGGCGAGAAGUACGCGGAAUGCGCGGUGUAGCGGUGAAAUGCAUAGAUAUCGCGCAGAACUCCGAUUGCGAAGGCAGCGUACCGGCGCCAGACUGACGCUGAGGCACGAAAGCGUGGGGAUCGAACAGGAUUAGAUACCCGAGUAGUC